rnacentral:rRNA from 1 species
UGGGUAACCUGCCUCAAAGAGGGGGAUAGCCUCCCGAAAGGGAGAUUAAUACCGCAUAAUAUGUUUUAAUCGCAUGAUUUUAACAUCAAAGGAUUUUCUUAGGAAAUUCCACUUUGAGAUGGACCCGCGGCGCAUUAGCUAGUUGGUGAGGUAACAGCUCACCAAGGCAACGAUGCGUAGCCGACCUGAGAGGGUGAUCGGCCACAUUGGAACUGAGACACGGUCCAGACCUCUACGGGAGG